rnacentral:tRNA from 1 species
GGUCCGAUAGUGGGCGGCAUCGAGAACCGCGACUUUUAAUCCGUAGGUUCCGGGUUCGAGCCCCGGGCGCCCUACCA